ACAGUGGACGCGAGCAUCUGUGGCCAAGUUUUUAAGGGCGCACGGUGGAUGCCUUGGUACCAGGAACCGAUGAAGGACGUGGGAGGCCGCGAUAGGCCCCGGGGAGCUGUCAACCGAGCUUUGAUCCGGGGGUGUCCGAAUGGGGAAACCCGGCAGUCGUCAUGGGCUGUCACCCAUACCUGAACACAUAGGGUAUGUGGAGGGAACGCGGGGAAGUGAAACAUCUCAGUACCCGCAGGAAGAGAAAACAACCGUGAUUCCGGGAGUAGUGGCGAGCGAAACCGGAUGAGGCCAAACCGUAGGCGUGUGAUACCCGGCAGGGGUUGCGCUUACGGGGUUGUGGGA
rnacentral:rRNA from 2 species